CGGGUGAGUAUGUAUGGGAUCUGCCUGAUGGCGGGGGAUAACUACUGGAAACGGUAGCUAAUACCGCAUAAUGUCUGCGGACCAAAGCGGGGGACCUCCGGGCCUCGCGCCAUCAGAUGAACCCAUAUGGGAUUAGCUUGUAGGUAAGGUAACGGCUUACCUAGGCGACGAUCCCUAGCUGGUCUGAGAGGAUGAUCAGCCACACUGGGACUGAGACACGGCCCAG
rnacentral:rRNA from 1 species